UGACGAUUUAGAAAGAUAUUUAAAAAUACCCGUGUUGUUGAAUAAGUUUAUAUGAGGAUUGUUUGUUUGACCCCGGGAAACGAAAGUACACCUGAUGAUCAUCGUUAAAUCUUUCAUAAUAUUGCAAGAGAAAGCUGCAUCAUAAUAAUGAUGCUAAGAAGAGUUUAUGUUAUAUUUUUAUUUGCCUGGGUAUGUUGUGCAGAAGAAAGAACGAAUACGUGUGGUGUAAAAAUUUGCUUUACAUGGACAGUGACAUCAGAUAAGCUAACACUUACUUGUAAAGUCGGACACUUACAUUUUAAAGUCAAGAUAGAAGAUCCUUUUGGAAUUAGGCAGGCAGAUUGUUUACCUCCUGCUCCAACAGCAACCUGCCAAAGCCAUUACUAUAAUGGCAGUAUUUCCCAAAACAUACAGACAAACGAAACUAUUUAUGUCUUGGAAGGAAAAAUUGACCAACAAGUGAAUGGAAACUGGACUUGUCUGCAUGGGACUAAUUUAGAAAUAAGUCAUGUUGACGUAACUGUAUUGCAAAUAAAAGGUGUCAAGAACAAAUCUAAUAAAAAAAACUGGAGUACCUGUUGGACAAUUGUGAUCGUAUUUAUUGUUUUGUUGUCUGUAUGUUUACUGAUAUGUGUGUGCAUUUACAAAAAGAAAUAAAUGGAACGUAAAGU